rnacentral:miRNA from 2 species
UGUUCUUGACGUCUGGACCAC